UGAGGAAUAUUGGGCAAUGCCCGCAAGGGUGACCCAGCAACGCCGCGUGGAGGAUGAAUGUCGUAAGAUUGUAAACUCCUGUUAGAGGGGAAGAAUAGUACCGGUUGGACCGGUAUAUGACUGUACCCCCAGAGAAAGCCCCGGCUAACUACGUGCCAGCAGCCGCGGUAAUACGUAGGGGGCAAGCGUUGUCCGGAUUUACUGGUGGUAAAGGGCGCGCAGGCGGGAUAAAAAGUCAGUGGUGAAAUCCUACAGCUUAACUGUAGAACUGCCUUUGAUACUUUUAUUCUUGAGUUCGGGAGAGAGAGACGGAAUUCCAGGUGUAGUGGUGAAAUACGUAGAUAUCUGGAAGAACACCAGUUGCGAAGGCGGUCUCUUGGUCCGACACUGACGCUGAGGCGCGAAAGCGUGGGGAGCAAACA
rnacentral:rRNA from 1 species